GGCCUACCAAGGCGACGACGGGUAGCCGGCCUGAGAGGGCGACCGGCCACACUGGGACUGAGACACGGCCCAGACUCCUACGGGAGGCAGCAGUGGGGAAUAUUGCGCAAUGGGCGAAAGCCUGACGCAGCGACGCCGCGUGAGGGAUGAAGGCCUUCGGGUUGUAAACCUCUUUCAGCAGGGACGAAGCGAAAGUGACGGUACCUGCAGAAGAAGCACCGGCUAACUACGUGCCAGCAGCCGCGGUAAUACGUAGGGUGCAAGCGUUGUCCGGAAUUAUUGGGCGUAAAGAGCUCGUAGGCGGUUUGUCGCGUCGGAUGUGAAAACCCAGGGCUCAACCCUGGGCCUGCACUCGAUACGGGCAGACUAGAGUAUGGCAGGGGAGACUGGAAUUCCUGGUGUAGCGGUGAAAUGCGCAGAUAUCAGGAGGAACACCGGUGGCGAAGGCGGGUCUCUGGGCCAAAACUGACGCUGAGGAGCGAAAGCGUGGGGAGCGAACAGGAUUAGAUACCCUGGUAGUCCACGCCGUAAACGUUGGGCGCUAGGUGUAGGGGACCUUCCACGUCCUCUGUGCCGCAGCUAGCGCAUU
rnacentral:rRNA from 1 species